rnacentral:rRNA from 1 species
UACGUAGGGCGCAAGCGUUGUCCGGAAUUAUUGGGCGUAAAGAGCUCGUAGGUGGCCUGUCGCGUCGGCUGUGAAACUCGGGCUCAACUCCGAGCUUGCAGUCGAUACGGCAGGCUAGAGUUCGGCAGGGGAGGACUGGAAUUCCUGGUGUAGCGGUGGAAAUGCGCAGAUAUCAGGAGGAACACCGGUGGCGAAGGCGGCUG